CCUACGGUGGUGCAGCAGUGAGGAAUAUUGGUCAAUGGACGCAAGUCUGAACCAGCCAAGUAGCGUGCAGGAUGACGGCCCUCCGGGUUGUAAAUUGCUUUUAGUUGGGAAUAAAAGGGGGUUCGUGAGCCCCGUAUUGUAUGGUCCACCAGAACAAGGACCGGCUCAUUCCGUGCAAGCAGCCGCGGUAAUACGGAAGGGCCGGGGGUUUUCCGGAUUUAUUGGGUUUAAGGGGAGCGUAGGCCGGCUUUUAAGUCAGCUGGGAAAGUCCGCGGCUCAACCGUGGAAUUGCAGUUGAAACUGGAGGCCUUGAGUGCACACAGGGAUGCCGGAAUUCAUGGUGUAGCGGUGAAAUGCUUAGAUAUCAUGAAGAACUCCGAUCGCGAAGGCAAGUGUCCGGGGUGCAACUGACGCUGAGGCUCGAAAGUGCGGGUAUCAAACAGGAUUAGAUACCCUUGUAGUC
rnacentral:rRNA from 1 species